rnacentral:rRNA from 1 species
AUUGAACGCUGGCGGCAGGCUUAACACAUGCAAGUCGAGCGAGCGGCGGACGGGUGAGUAAUGUCUGGGAAACUGCCUGAUGGAGGGGGAUAACUACUGGCAACGGUAGCUAAUACCGCAUACCAUCAGAUGUGCCCAGAUGGGAUUAGCUAGUAGGGGGGGUAAUGGCUCACCUAGGAGACGAUACCUAGCUGGUCUGAGAGGAUGACCAGCAACAGUUGAACAUAGACACGGUCCAGAAUCCUACGGGAGGCAGCAGUGGGGAAUAUUGCACAAUGGGCGCAAGCCUGAUGAAGCCAUGCCGCGUGUGUGAAGAAGGCCUUCGGGUUGUAAAGCACUUUCAGCGAGGAGGCGUUACUCGCAGAAGAAGCACCGGCUAACUCCGUGCCAGCAGCCGCGGUAAUAC